rnacentral:tRNA from 1 species
ACUUAUAUAGUUUAAAUUAAACCUUAUAUUUUCAAUAUAAAAUUAUUAAUAUAUUAAAUUUUAAUUAUAAGUA